GAGCAUUUUGUGUUAACUGAAGUGGUAAGAAACUCAGCUAAACAAUGGAGUAACUAAUUUUAAUGUAAUGUUGUGGUCACAUGUGGUGAUUCAUAGUGUCCGUGUCCCAAGCUAGUGUCAUUGUACUGCACAGUGAUUUGUGGACCAUACAGCAUGAAGAUAGGUCCUGCUGUACAUGUGCCAACGGCCGGAAGAGGCUCGGAGCUCUUAUACAAACCUGAACACUGAAGGUACCUGUUGGAGAACCGACCAUGUAGCUAAGAAAACAGACUGAAUGCUUUACCUCCAGGAGCCAAAAACUCUGAUCUGAAAAUGGCUGUCCACCGAAGGUCCUCAUCAAACCUGACAGAGCUUGAGAGGAUCUUAAGAGAAGAAAAUCCUCAGAUCCAGGUGGGCCAAAGCUUGUCGGUUCAUCCCUGUGAAGACUCAAGGCUGUAACGGCUGCCAAAAGAGAUGCACCAAGGAUCCAGCUGAUUACUGGCAAAUAGGAGGAGGAUUGUUAUUCAUCUGCUACGUUGCACUGUCACUUCUGGUACAGAUUCAUUGACCUGUUGUGGUAUGUUUUCAUUUUAUUUAUUAAUACACUGUAUAGUUAGGAUUCUAAAUUAAAAGAGCCUAAUGUUUGUCCACAUAUGUUAUCAAAACUAUGACCCCCCAGGGGUCAGGAAAAUAUUGUGGAAAACAAUAUAAACCUGAACUGGAUAAUACAACUAAUGACAGACCACAACUCAGCAGCACUUGUAACAGACAAGAUAUACACAUGGAGAAUGCCAAUUCCUCCUGAGGGGCUCUGAAGAACUGUUUGUUAAAAUUUAUAUUGCAAAUUUACAUCUGAAUAAAUUGAAUAAAAGUGUGAAAGAA